rnacentral:rRNA from 1 species
AUUGAACGCUGGCGGCAUGCCUUACACAUGCAAGUCGAACGGUAACAGGUCUUCGGAUGCUGACGAGUGGCGAACGGGUGAGUAAUACAUCGGAACGUGCCCGAUCGUGGGGGAUAACGAAGCGAAAGCUUUGCUAAUUCCGCAUACGAUUUACGGAUGAAAGCAGGGGGCCGCAAGGCCUUGCGCGAACGGAGCGGCCGAUGGCAGAUUAGGUAGUUGGUGGGAUAAAAGCUUACCAAGCCGACGAUCUGUAGCUGGUUUGAGAGGACGACCAGCCCCCCUGGGACUGAGACCCGGCCCCGACUCCUUCGGGAGGCAGCAGUGGGGAAUUUUGGACAAUGGGCGAAAGCCUGAUCCAGCCCUGCCGCGUGCAGGAUGAAGGCCUUCGGGUUGUAAACUGCUUUUGUACGGAACGAAAAGACUUUGGUUAAUACCUGGGGUCCCUGACGGUACCGUAAGAAUAAGCCCCGGCUAACUACGUG